GGCUCGGCUGCUCGCUUGGGGAGGGCACGGCGGGCAAGGGCGGGACUGGCCCGCUGCGGGAGGACUGGGGAGCCGCGGAGAUAACGGGUCCAGACGCUGGCGGCGGCGGCGGCUUUCUCUGCACUGGCGGAGGCGGCAGCAGGAGCGGCGAGUAUGGCCCGCGCGGCGCUCGGCGCUGACUGAGAGUCAUGCUGCGGCAGCCUGGUGCCUGACGAGUGAGGGGAACCUGCCAAGGGAUUACUGCUAGCUCAAGGCAGGACAGAGGCCUCAAGGGAGCGGAGAUGGGCAGAGCAGCCUCCAAGCCUGGGCCAGCAGCACCAAGACGGAGGCCUGGGCCCUGGCCUGGAGCUCGGCUCACACUCGCUCGGCUGACCCUGAUGGCGUUCGAAGCAACACCCUGCUGAGAAGCGGCUGUUCCCAGGCCCCAGAGGACCUCAGAGCAGGAGCUGGAGUUUGACCACCCCUACACAACUGCAGUUGGGGCUGCAACCGUCGGGGGAAGGGGCUGGCGCCUCGGAUGGGAAGUAGAAGGGCAGAACCUAACGCCAGGAGGAUCUUGGUCUCUGAAGAGUUUUCUGGAACACACGGAGCUUCCUGGGUUUCUUCUCUCUGGAUUGGGGCUUGGUUCCCUCUCCUCCCCUGGCAGAGGGCUUGGGCCCUGAGGGCCAACUGAGAGAGGGAAGACUCUUAAAUGAAAUUCAGGCUGCCUGAAGCCCACGUGCUCUCUGCUAUGAUUGGGGUUCAAGAGCUUCCCUGCUGCAGGGGACGAGGGGCCGCCUCGGCAUCUGCUCAUGAGCCACAAGGACCCCGAAUGCUCCAGACUGGAUCGUUUCAAGCCGCCAAAGAGGGGGACCCCCACAGCUGGCAGCCAGCAACCCCAAGGGACUAGAGGGCUGGGAUGGACUGACCUCCCCCUUGCCAGGGCUCUGGGAGAAGCAGAGCCUCUGUGGCCCAGCUAGUGACGGAGAGACCCAAUGAAGCCAUAAGCAGGGCCAGGCGGCUCAGGGACAGGGGAGCCACUGCUGCCGACGUGCUUUCUCCUGACGCUGAGGGAGGGCGCAGUGUGGGACCUCUGCCCCGUCCCCUCCCUGGCACUUGCCCAUAUGCCCUUUGCGCGUGGUGCCAGAACAAGCAGGCUACGCUGUGGCUGGCCCGUCAGCGGGCUGGGAAAGGAGUGGCCACGGUGACACCUGCCUGACUGCCGGGCUGAGGCCCCAGCUCCCCGGGGCACCGAACCAUGAAGUGCUCCCUGCGGGUGUGGUUCCUCUCCGCGGCCUUCCUGCUGGUGUUCAUCAUGUCACUGCUGUUCACCUACUCCCACCACAGCAUGGCCACCCUGCCCUACCUGGACUCGGGCGCCCUGGACGGGACCCACCGGGUGAAGCUGGUGCCCGGCUACACCGGCCUUCAGCGCCUCAGCAAGGAGGGGCCCGCCGGCAAGAGCUGUGCCUGUCGCCGCUGCAUGGGCGACGCCGGCGCCUCUGAGUGGUUUGAUAGCCACUUCAACAGCAACAUUUCCCCGGUCUGGACCCGGGAGAACAUGGACCUGCCCCCAGAGGUCCAGAGGUGGUGGAUGAUGUUGCAGCCUCAGUUCAAGUCACACAACACCAACGAGGUGCUGGAGAAGCUGUUCCAGAUAGUACCAGGCGAGAACCCCUACCGUUUCCGGGACCCCCGCCGGUGCCGGCGCUGUGCUGUGGUGGGGAACUCGGGCAACCUGCGGGGCUCUGGCUACGGGCCGGAUGUGGACGGGCACAACUUUAUCAUGAGGAUGAAUCAGGCGCCAACCGUGGGCUUUGAGCAGGAUGUCGGCAGCCGAACCACCCACCAUUUCAUGUACCCCGAGAGUGCCAAGAACCUGCCCGCCAACGUCAGCUUCGUGCUGGUGCCCUUCAAAGCCCUGGACCUACUGUGGAUCGCCAGCGCCCUGUCCACAGGGCAGAUCCGAUUCACCUAUGCCCCAGUGAAGUCCUUCCUUCGAGUGGACAAAGAAAAGGUCCAGAUCUACAACCCAGCCUUCUUCAAGUACAUCCACGACAGGUGGACAGAGCAUCACGGGCGGUACCCUUCCACGGGGAUGCUGGUACUCUUCUUUGCUCUGCAUGUGUGUGAUGAGGUGAACGUGUACGGGUUCGGGGCCGACAGCCGGGGCAACUGGCACCACUACUGGGAGAAUAACCGGUACGCGGGCGAGUUCCGGAAGACAGGCGUGCAUGACGCCGACUUCGAGGCCCACAUCAUCGACAUGCUGGCCAAGGCCAGCAAGAUCGAGGUCUACCGAGGGAACUGAGCCCGACCCAGCCGUGACUCUUCCGGCCCUUCCGCGAAGCGCUGGCAAGCGCUCCAGCCGGGUCUGAGAGUCAGCCCGGGGGUGGUGGCCUAAGCGCGGGCGCGGCGCUCUAUUGGGCGUCAGCAGGCAAUCGGGAGCGACGCCGCCGCAGUCUGGACCAAUCAUGCUUCAGUCUAGCGAGCGCCGGCUAUCCUCCGCCAAUCACGAGACUCUGGGCGCUGGCUGGGCCUAGCAUCAAUCAGCGCUGCCGACGGCCGGAGCCUCUGUUUCUCACAGCCAAUCAUGCGACUCAAGGAGAACUUCCGGCGCUGGGGCCCGUCUCCUCCAAUCAAUGGCCUUCGGAGGCGGGCCGGCGGCCGAUCAAUCCCCACUCCCGUAUGCUUUUGGGUAGGAUUUUAUCGAUAUUUCACGCUUUCAAAGGAGCAGAAGUUUGUUCCGGCCCCGAGAAGUACUUUCCUCAGGCUCGGGCGGAGGCGGCUCAGUCGCCGGCCGGUCUGACCCCGCAGGGGGCGUGGAGGAGGAAACGGUGGGGAAGAUGGUGAGUGAAUGAAACGAGGAAGAAGUCACCCACCCUUCCAUAACUCAAUUUGGAUGGCAGCACCAAUCUCUGCAAAUCCUGCUGGAAUGUGCCACAGGGAAGGAACCUGGUCCCCCAGCAUGAAGUGGAGCUGGCCGAGAGGGAGGGCGCAGGGCCACACCCUCCAGUGGAGCUCCUCCCCCCCGGGCCUCCUCCUGCUGCCGCUGCUACUCACAUGGCAGAAGAUCAUGGCUUGAGCAAUGGUGAUGGCCCCGUAGAUAUUACACAAGGCCUGGAACUUCUCAUCUCUGCUAUUGCACAGGACGUAAUACUGCUUGAUGGUGUCCAGUGUCUCCUCCUCGCGCUUCAAUUUGAUGAUGUUUGGGUCUGGGACCACUUUCUGGGCAAAUUUCCAGACAGAGUCUUCGAAGGUGGCAGAGAAAAGCAGCAUCUGGCAGUUCCUGGGAAGCAUCCUGCAAGGGAAGGCCCAGGUGUUCGACAUGACCCCGACCCAGUGUUUCACUGCAAGGAACAGAAGCACAGCCUCCCCAGGCUUGGAUGACCUGCGUCCCCAGGAAGGUGGCAAAGCAGGGAGGAGCACUGCAGGGAGGAGGGAGGAGCAGACGUGGGGCAGGGACGGCUGGUGGUAGAGUCCCUAAGUCUCCUUCCUCAACCCAGGCUGGGGGUAUGGUCAGUGCGACAUGGAAAUGGCCCACCAAACAAACGCCUCUGAAAGCUGCAGAGUAAAGAACUGGCAGGGGCAAGACGAGGGUGAAGUAAAAGGAGACGAUGCUGCAGAUCAGGAGGCCGAGAAGCUCCUCCUGGCUCAGGAGUUCCUACCUCUGGAUGCGGAUGCUCUGAUCUUGGUGGCCCUGAGUAGCUAUCAUCACGUCAGCCUCAUCCAGAACAAACACCUUGAUCUUCUUGGGGUCAAUGAACUUGAGCUUGGAGCACCAGUCCAGAACGGUCCCAGGGGUGCCAAUGACAAUGUGCUCACUGAUCUUCUGACCUCUUUCCACUGUGGAGACAAGAUGUGUUCUGUAAUGCCAACUGCUUCUGGAAGUCAGUGUGCCAAUGUAUACUCCCCACUGGAGCACGUGAGCCUUCCAGUUCUUCUCCAUCUUGGUCAACACUUGGUUUGCCAGACUUCCUCAUUUCUACCAUCUGAGAGGCAUACAGUGGUUUCACUUGAUGUUUCCCUGAUGACUAAUGAAGCUUAUCAUCUUUUCACGUUUACUAGCCAUCUGAAUUCCUUCUUUUGUGAAGCGUCUGUUCAACUGGGCCUCUCUUGUCCAUUCUCCUAUUGGAAUGCUUACUUUUUUCUAAUUGAUUUGUAGUUUUUUAUAUUCUGAUAACUUCUCCAUUACCCAUUUUCUACCUGCCCCUCCUCCCAUGUAACCCAUAUUUUCUACAUUCUACAGAACACAUGAGAAAAGAAUUGGUGGAAGGAUUUCUGAUUUGGAUGGGGUUACGGAGAUGUUCCUGGUAUUGCUUCUGAUAUUUUUUGCAGUUUUUAUUAAGUGGAAAAGGCAGAAACUGUACUGAAUUGCAUCUGACUCUCUCUGCACCUCUCUAAGCUGUUCCCCUGAAGAAGCACGUUGCUCUCAACGGCCCAUCUUGUGCUCAGGAACACUACAGCUCUUGGUGGAAGACAUUUAACCCAGUUCUGAAGAGGUGUGCCAGGGUCCAUAUACUUACGGCUCAGCAAGCAUCAUGGAUGCUCCACUGAACCACAGUCAUUUUGUGUUCCAUGGACCUUCCAAAGCCAGCUGUGCAAGAACUCGGGACAAUUGAGAGGGCCCACGAAUCGGUGGCCAUGGUCCCGGAGGAGGAAGGCCGACUGGCGAAAAACACAACCGCACGAACAGCAGCACCAGCCCUCAACUCUGCAGGCGCAGGAACCACACUCACUCGGACCGGAAGCGGCGAUGCGCGAAGGUGACGUCAGUUUCCGUCCGGGGCGAGACGUCACCGUCCGCGCGGCGCCACGCAGGGCCUAACAUCGGGCUUCGCUUCCACUCGUCGUGCCCCGCUUCCUCUCGUCGUGCCCAUACCCGCUUCUUCUGCGGACUUCCCCGGGAGCCACCUCAUCGUGCCUGGAAAUCCAUCAAAGAAGUAGAAAAGAAGAAUAAGUGAUUAACAGAUGACCAGAUCUCUUCCCUAGCUUCCCCUUCAGUAAUCUCCCAAAUAAACUCUGUGACCGAACUGUGUGAACACGAUCACAUCUCGAGGAAGAUCACAAGAAGCUGAGGAGCCUGCACACAGUGGGGGAUGGCGACGACCCAUCUCAAUGAUUAACUGAGAUUACUUCCCUCCUUCCCUUUAAAAGUUUCAUGAGCAGAAUCUUUGGAGGUGGUUUUUGGGGUACGUUGAGUCCACCAUCUCCCCAGAUUGCUGGCAUUCUGAUUAAAGGCACUUUUCCUUUUUA